UGUUUUUCGUUUGUUACUGUAUAUAAUACUUAUUUUUCGUUUGUUUUUUUGUACAAAAAUCAGGCCAUUAUUUUCUUCUCGUUUGAAUUGUUAUUGUUUGAAUUACAUUUUGAGAUCUUAAGGGCUUGCUAUGCGAUAUGGAUUUUGAUCAUUGUUGAAGGCAUUACGGUGAUCUUUAGCUGCUAACAUCUAAGUCAAUUUGGUGCCUGGUGCAUAGUUG
rnacentral:lncRNA from 1 species